rnacentral:rRNA from 1 species
ACGGAGGGUGCGAGUGUUAUUCGGAAUCACUGGGCGUAAAGCGAACGUAGGCGGAUAGGCAAGUCAGAUGUGAAAUCCCGGGGCUCAACCUCGGAACUGCAUUUGAUACUGCUUGUCUUGAGUAUGGUAGAGGUGGGUGGAAUUCCCGGUGUAGAGGUGAAAUUCGUAGAUAUCGGGAGGAAUACCUGAGGCGAAGGCGACCCACUGGGCCAUUACUGACGCUGAGGUUCGAAAGCGUGGGUAGCAAACAG